GAGAAGAUGAGGACAGAGAACAUCUACAUCAAAGGAGACAUCACUGGAUGGAAGAGUGUUUGAUAAAGGUCUUAUGACCGAAACGUCACAAAUUGGUGAAGUUGCCAUAAAAAUAAAAAUAAACACAUCAGAACUCAAGUUGAGUGCGGUUGUUAUUCCGUUCAAUGUGUUAGUGUGGCUGGGAAGCCAACACAACCAGCACCACGACCUCAAGAGACACGAGUGCCACGUCUUAUCUAUACAAAGUAUUAUUUUCCUAGACGAAAGGCACCUGUCCGGCGAUGUCAAGCCUGACCUUCUCUUACAAUCAAGAAGAGACUGAUUCUAUUCUGUCUCAAGUCACUUUACCUACAGAAUUUUUACAGACUCCGGCGUCAGAGCUGAGAGCACGGGAUUAUGAACGAGAAUCCAGAAGAUUACUAAAUUAUGAAUUACACUGCGUGACUCUGGCAGAGUAUGUACGAGCUCAGGGGAUCCCUAGGGGUCUCCGUAUGUCCACAUGACCCACAAUAUUCAAGGAGGAUAAGACCUUCUGCGAUCAAUUUGAGCAAAUAUUAAACAAAUGUUCCUUUGAUUUGAUGACAUUGACCAUAUCAUAUUUACAAAAAUCCAUAAUAUCAAUCAAGGAAUCUAUUACUGCAGCAGAACAACAGCUUAGAACGACCCUGGCACCGGAAGCCCUUACUCAACUACAAGACCGACUGACAUCCACCCUGGCAAACCAUAGAAAAGAAUCCGAGGCAGCAAAGAGAAAUUUUUUUGAGAGAGAUUCAGAAGACUACAGAAACAAUCGUGUAUACAGAUGGCAGGAAUCCUACUGCUCACAAAACCGCAGGAGAUCAUCCUCACAAGCUUCCUCAGGUUCCAGCACAGACACCAAUAUGGAAUCCUCUCGAUCAACUGGUUUUUUAGGCCGACGCUCACAAGGCAGAAACCGACACGGAGGGGGAGACAAUCAAAGAGGACAAGCAACAGUCACGACGCGCUCACAGAUGCACUAAGAACCGGACCCCCACCAUGUUUGCCAUCCUUUCCUAUAUGGAGUGCCACGUUUUGAUGCUCUGUUUCUUAAUAACUCAUGUAUAUGAAAUGUCUGUAUUGCUGUAUCAGCCUUUUUCCUUUUGUUAUUCCUGAUUUUUUAUUUCUUUCUAUUUUUAUUUUUAUCUUCUUUCUGGAUUGUUUUGAUUUUCUUGGUACCCGCAUUCGAGUAUUUUCCAUUGUAUAAAGUGCCAAUACCAUAUGAUGAAAUAAGGUGCAAUGAUAUAUUUAUUUUAAUGUUGCCAUUAUAUUGUAUAUUUAUAGAAAUAUUUUCUCAUUAUCACAGUGUUUGAUAAAGGUCUUAUGACCGAAACGUCACAAAUUGGUGAA